CUAGUGGCGCACGGGUGCGUAACGCGUGGGAAUCUGCCCUUGGGUUCGGAAUAACAGUGAGAAAUUACUGCUAAUACCGGAUGAUGACGUAAGUCCAAAGAUUUAUCGCCCAAGGAUGAGCCCGCGUAAGAUUAGCUUGUUGGUGAGGUAAAAGCUCACCAAGGCGACGAUCUUUAGCUGGUCUGAGAGGAUGAUCAGCCACACUGGGACUGAGACACGGCCCAGACUCCUACGGGAGGCAGCAGUGGGGAAUAUUGGACAAUGGGCGAAAGCCUGAUCCAGCAAUGCCGCGUGAGUGAUGAAGGCCUUAGGGUUGUAAAGCUCUUUUACCCGGGAUGAUAAUGACAGUACCGGGAGAAUAAGCCCCGGCUAACUCCGUGCCAGCAGCCGCGGUAAUACGGAGGGGGCUAGCGUUAUUCGGAAUUACUGGGCGUAAAGCGCACGUAGGCGGUUAUUCAAGUCAGAGGUGAAAGCCUGGAGCUCAACUCCAGA
rnacentral:rRNA from 1 species